rnacentral:rRNA from 1 species
UGGGGAAUAUUGCACAAUGGGCGCAAGCCUGAUGCAGCCAUGCCGCGUGUAUGAAGAAGGCCUUCGGGUUGUAAAGUACUUUCAGCGGGGAGGAAGGGAGUAAAGUUAAUACCUUUGCUCAUUGACGUUACCCGCAGAAGAAGCACCGGCUAACUCCGUGCCAGCAGCCGUGGUAAUACGGAGGGUGCAAGCGUUAAUCGGAAUUACUGGGCGUAAAGCGCACGCAGGCGGUUUGUUAAGUCAGAUGUGAAAUCCUCGGGCUCAACCUGGGAACUGCAUCUGAUACUGGCAAGCUUGAGUCUCGUAGAGGGGGGUAGAAUUCCAGGUGUAGCGGUGAAAUGCGUAGAGAUCUGGAGGAAUACCGGUGGCGAAGGCGGCCCCCUGGACGAAGACUGACGCUCAGGUGCGAAAGCGUGGGGAGCAAACAGG